AUGAUCCCCAAUUUCAGGCAGCCCAGAUGCAAUAUUUCUGUUUUUAUGGCAUUAAGGAGUAGAAAAGAAUGAUAUCCCCUGGAAUGAUUUAGAGUAUUUUCUACAAAGUCUAUUCUUUGGAGUAGGACAAACGAAGCUCCGGCUGUUUAUAGAAGUGGGCCACAACGCUGGGCGGUGGCCCGAGGGGUGUUGCUUCAUCCCGUCAGGGGUGCAGAACGAAAAUGGUGCAGAGGAGAGCCAGGGCUGGCUGUGACGAGAUCAUGUUGCAAGAGUGAGAAAAGAGCCUUUGUGAGAUAGAGACAGCCAGCGAGAGAGGGA